rnacentral:rRNA from 1 species
GGACCCCACUGCUAUUGGGGUGGGACUAAGACAUGCUAGUCGUGCGCCUCCAAGCCACGGUGGAGGCGCGGCGCACAGCUCAGUAACACGUGGCUAACCUGCCCUUGGGACGGGGAUAACCCCGGGAAACUGGGGCUAAUCCCCGAUAGGUGAGGACGCCUGGAAUGGGUCCUUGCCGAAAGGGCGCCUACACCAUGCUUGUAGGCGCUGCCCAAGGAUGGGGCCGCGGCCGAUCAGGUAGUUGGUGAGGUAACGGCUCACCAAGCCUAUAACCGGUACGGGCCGUGGGAGCGGGAGCCCGGAGAUGGACACUGAGACAAGGGUCCAGGCCCUACGGGGNGCAGCAGUCGCGAAACCUCCGCAAUACGCGNAAGCGUGACGGGGUCACCCCGAGUGCCGCCCGCUGAGGGUGGCUUUUCCCCAGUGUAGCCAGCUGGGGGAAUAAGGG